rnacentral:rRNA from 1 species
UACGAAGGGUGCAAGCGUUAAUCGGAAUUACUGGGCGUAAAGCGCGCGUAGGUGGUUCAGUAAGUUGGAAGUGAAAUUCCCGGGCUCAACCUGGGAACUGCUUUCAAAACUGCUGAGCUAGAGUACGGUAGAGGGUGGUGGAAUUUCCUGUGUAGCGGUGAAAUGCGUAGAUAUAGGAAGGAACACCAGUGGCGAAGGCGACCACCUGGACUGAUACUGACACUGAGGUGCGAAAGCGUGGGGAGCAAACAGG